rnacentral:rRNA from 1 species
AGGUAGUGACGAAAAAUAACGAUACGGGACUCAUCCGAGGCCCCGUAAUCGGAAUGAGUACACUUUAAAUCCUUUAACGAGGAUCGAUUGGAGGGCAAGUCUGGUGCCAGCAGCCGCGGUAAUUCCAGCUCCAAUAGCGUAUAUUAAAGUUGUUGCGGUUAAAAAGCUCGUAGUUGAAUCUGUGUGCCGCGCUGUCGGUUCACCGCUCGCGGUGUUUAACUGACUGGACUGCGGUACGUCCUACCGGUGGACUUAGCGCGCGAGCGCGUCCUUAACGGGUCGCGUUUCGUUGUCGCGGGUCCAGUAUGAAUCCCAUCGCGGUGCUCUUUGUUGAGUGUCGAGGUGGGCCGGUACUUUUACUUUGAACAAAUUAGAGUGCUCAAAGCAGGCCACUUUCGCCUGAAUACUGCGUGCAUGGAAUAAUGGAAUAGGACCUCGGUUCUAUUUUGUUGGUUUUAGGAACUCCGAGGUAAUGAUUAAUAGGGACAGAUGGGGGCAUUCGUAUUGCGACGUUAGAGGUGAAAUUCUUGGAUCGUCGCAAGACGAACGGAAGCGAAAGCAUUUGCCAAAAAUGUUUUCAUUAAUCAAGAACGAAAGUUAGAGGUUCGAAGGCGAUCAGAUACCGCCCUAGUUCUAACCAUAAACGAUGCCAGCUAGCGAUCCGCCGAAGUUCCUCCGAUGACUCGGCGGGCAGCU